rnacentral:rRNA from 1 species
CCUACGGGCGGCAGCAGUGGGGAAUAUUGGACAAUGGGGGCAACCCUGAUCCAGCCAUGCCGCGUGUGUGAAGAAGGCCCUCGGGUUGUAAAGCACUUUCAGUGAGGAAGAACGCCUGGUGGUUAAUACCCAUCAGGAAAGACAUCACUCACAGAAGAAGCACCGGCUAACUCCGUGCCAGCAGCCGCGGUAAUACGGAGGGUGCGAGCGUUAAUCGGAAUUACUGGGCGUAAAGCGCGCGUAGGUGGCUUGAUAAGCCGGUUGUGAAAGCCCCGGGCUCAACCUGGGAACGGCAUCCGGAACUGGCAAGCUAGAGUGCAGGAGAGGAAGGUAGAAUUCCCGGUGUAGCGGUGAAAUGCGUAGAGAUCGGGAGGAAUACCAGUGGCGAAGGCGGCCUUCUGGACUGACACUGACACUGAGGUGCGAAAGCGUGGGUAGCAAACAGGAUUAGAUACCCCGGUAGUC